GACGAACGCUGGCGGCGUGCUUAACACAUGCAAGUCGAACGGAAAGGCCCUGCUUUUGUGGGGUGCUCGAGUGGCGAACGGGUGAGUAACACGUGAGUAACCUGCCCUUGACUUUGGGAUAACUUCAGGAAACUGGGGCUAAUACCGGAUAGGAGCUCCUGCUGCAUGGUGGGGGUUGGAAAGUUUCGGCGGUUGGGGAUGGACUCGCGGCUUAUCAGCUUGUUGGUGGGGUAGUGGCUUACCAAGGCUUUGACGGGUAGCCGGCCUGAGAGGGUGACCGGCCAAAUGGGGACGGAGAUACGCCCCAGCCCCCUCGGGGGGGCAGCGGGGGGGAAUAUUGCACAAUGGGGGGAAGCCUGAUGCAGCAACGCCGGGGGGGGGAUGACGGCCUUGGGGUUGUAAACCGCUUUCGCCUGGGACGAAGCGGGAGUGACGGUAAUGGGUAAAGAAGCACCGGCUAACUACGU
rnacentral:rRNA from 1 species